GGGCCCGCACAAGCGGAGGAACAUGUGGUUUAAUUCGAUGAUACGCGAGGAACCUUACCCGGGCUUGAAUUGCAGACGAACGCGGCAGAGAUGCCAAGGCCCUUCGGGGCGUCUGUGAAGGUGCUGCAUGGUUGUCGUCAGCUCGUGCCGUGAGGUGUCGGCUUAAGUGCCAUAACGAGCGCAACCCCUCUCCUUAGUUGCCAUCAGGUGAUGCUGGGCACUCUGGGGACACUGCCGCCGUAAGGUGUGAGGAAGGUGGGGAUGACGUCAAAUCAGCACGGCCCUUACGUCCGGGGCUACACACGUGUUACAAUGGCGCGUACAGAGGGCAGGCCGCCGGCGACGUCGGUCCAAUCCAUAAAACGCGUCCCAGUUCGGACUGGGGUCUGCAACCCGACCCCACGAAGCUGGAUUCGCUAGUAAUCGCGCAUCAGCCAUGGCGCGGUGAAUACGUUCCCGGGCCUU
rnacentral:rRNA from 1 species